rnacentral:sRNA from 1 species
UAAUGAAGAUACAAAAAGAGCCGAGCAGCAACUCGACUCUAAUGUAGACCGUUGAAAAGACGGUGGCAGUUAUUAGUGUAUUAAUAA